CUCGUAGGCGGCCAACUAAGUCGGACGUGAAAUCCCUCAGCUUAACUGGGGAACUGCGUCCGAUACUGGAUGGCUUGGAUUUGGGAGAGGGAUGCGGAAUUCCAGGUGUAGCGGUGAAAUGCGUAGAUAUCUGGAGGAACACCGGUGGCGAAGGCGGCAUCCUGGACCAAUAUUGACGCUGAGGAGCGAAAGCUAGGGAGCAAACG
rnacentral:rRNA from 1 species